AUGGGUAAGUAUAUGCAUUUAGUUAAAUAAAGAACGUUUUCAGAUAUUUUGAUCUAAUAAAAUUAAAAUAAUCUUUUAGAUGAUCAACCUACUGGUAAUUUGGUGUCCAGUGAUGUCGUUCCAGGUACAAACCCUGUAUUUAAAGACAAACAUUUGUUGUAGAACUUGUUGGUGGACCAGUCUGUUGUUGGUAUUAGACAUGUACUGUUACCUGAGAUAAAAGCAGUAAUUGAAAAGGAGAAAGGAUCAGAUAACCCAAAUGAGGAAUCUUCCAGAGUGCAGAUGAUGAAGUUUUUGUGAGUGAGGUAUAAGAUCUGUCUCUUGUAAGACCUGUUUUAAGAAUUUAACCCAGGCAGUUGUUUACAACCAAGUUAGAUCUCAAGCAUAGCAAAGGAAUCGUACAAUCUGUGAAUUCAGUUUAAUUACUGAGAUCAAGGAUGAUGAAACAUUCAUUAUGAUUAUACAGAGCUACAAAGAGUUAUGUCGAGAAUCCAAAUUAUCAUAAUGAAUUGAGACGAGACAACAUCUGGGUGAAAAUUGAGGAAAAACGCAGAUAAAAGGCAUUUUUAUAUUAACGUUAUCCAAUGUUUUUAUCAAAUCGUCACAUAGAUAAUAUUUCUCUACGCAUAAUACUAAAAUUAAAAAGGUCAGGUUAAAACAAUUUUAAUUAUCCAUCGCGUGUGAAAAACAGUGCUUCGCAUGGCUUCGGCUUCGGCGCGCUUCGCUCAAGUGCUCAACAUGCUUUAAAUUUUUGCGAAGCGCCAAAAUGUCAUUGGAUUAAUUACAUGUAUUUUGAUUCUUCGCGUUACUUCGCUUUAAUCCGUGGGUCUGCAUUUUUAUACAUAGAUACCAUUGAUCCAAUUCACAUUUUUUCGCCGCGCUUCGAAUAAGUUCGCGACAAA